rnacentral:rRNA from 1 species
UACGUAGGGGGCAAGCGUUGUCCGGAAUUAUUGGGCGUAAAGAGCUCGUAGGCGGCUUGUCGCGUCGACUGUGAAAUCCCGCGGCUCAACUGCGGGUCUGCAGUCGAUACGGGCAGGCUAGAGUUCGGUAGGGGAGACUGGAAUUCCUGGUGUAGCGGUGAAAUGCGCAGAUAUCAGGAGGAACACCGAUGGCGAAGGCAGAUCUCUGGGCCGUAACUGACGCUGAGGAGCGAAAGCAUGGGGAGCGAACAGG